UACGUAGGGCGCAAGCGUUAUCCGGAAUUAUUGGGCGUAAAGAGCUCGUAGGCGGUUUGUCGCGUCUGCCGUGAAAGUCCGGGGCUCAACUCCGGAUCUGCGGUGGGUACGGGCAGACUAGAGUGAUGUAGGGGAGACUGGAAUUCCUGGUGUAGCGGUGAAAUGUGCAGAUAUCAGGAGGAACACCGGUGGCGAAGGCGGGUCUCUGGGCAACAACUGACGCUGAGGAGCGAAAGCGUGGGGAGCGAACAGG
rnacentral:rRNA from 1 species